AUUGACCUCGGAUCAGGUAGGGAUACCCGCUGAACUUAAGCAUAUCAAUAAGCGGAGGAAAAGAAACCAACAGGGAUUGCCUCAGUAACGGCGAGUGAAGCGGCAACAGCUCAAAUUUGAAAUCUGGCCCCUUCGGGGUCCGAGUUGUAAUUUGUAGAGAGUGCUUCGGGGGAGACCGCGGUCUAAGUCCAUUGGAACAUGGCGUCACAGAGGGUGAGAAUCCCGUAUGUGACCGUGGCUCGAACCCAUGUGAAGCCUCUUCGACGAGUCGAGUUGUUUGGGAAUGCAGCUCAAAAUGGGUGGUAAAUUUCAUCUAAAGCUAAAUACUGGCUGGAGACCGAUAGCGCACAAGUAGAGUGAUCGAAAGAUGAAAAGCACUUUGGAAAGAGAGUUAAAAAGUACGUGAAAUUGUUGAAA
rnacentral:rRNA from 1 species